ensembl:snRNA U6 U6 spliceosomal RNA
ACUUCAGCAGCACAUGUAUGUACUAAGAUUGAAAGGACACUGAGAUCAGCAUGGCCCCCAUACAGCGAUGACAUGCAAAUCGGUGAAGUGUUCCAUAUUUUA